AUACUUACCUGACGCGAGAGGCACCUUGAUCAACUAGGAGGUCCUCUCAGGAUGAGGCCCUUUCAUUGCACUUCGACUGGGUUGACUCCUGCGAUUACCCCUAAUGUGGGUAACUCGAGCGUAUAAUUUCUGGUAGUGGGGACCUGCGUUCGCGCUCGUCCUCU
rnacentral:snRNA from 1 species